GAGAAAGGAAAGAAAAUACAAAGGCACACAUUCCGUUUCUGUGGAAUUCGCUCUUUAUUUUGGGACCAGCGAAGGACCACACACAGCCCUGCAGCUCAGGGGUCGGGGGCAGCGAGACGCGGGACUGCAGUACCCGAACCCUGCCCAGACGCCGCCGUCGGGAGGCGGAAUCCGGGUUUCCAGGGUCCGGAGUGAACAUGCAAAUGAGGUGGGCGUGGUCUGCAGGUCUCCCAGGAGGCCUCGGGCGUCCUCACCACAGGUCUGCGCCUCCGGCCUGCGGGAGCGAAGGGAAAGGAAUCCGAUCCGGGGAGGCAAGCCUGGGAGACGUCAUGGCUCCUUAUCAGCCACUCAGACCCCAUGGGACCACACAUCCCAGGAAACGCCAGGGUGCCCUGCUGAGCAUGGAGGUGGAAGAGGUCACCAGGACAAGAGGACAUAGAUCCUACCUUUGAAGGAAGGAGAAAAAUCAUUCUUCUGAGGGACCCCUCAUCCAGGGGGCAAGGCACGGCCCUGUCCUUCAAGAACUCCAGUCUCAAAGAAAGGACAUGGCUGUAUCAUGGGGGAUCCUCAGUCUGAGGCGUUGCAGAACAUAGAUAGAGAGAGAAAAACAGAGAGACAGCUGUUGUCCUGUUUGGAGGGGUGACAGCAGAAAUCAAAGAAUUCCACUCCUCCGUGGAAAGACAAAAGACAGGUGCUCACCCUGGGAUGGAGGGGGCAGUGGGAGCUGGUUAGUACAUCUGUGAUCCCAGGGGUCAGGGCCUACAGAAGGACCCUGCAGGCUAAUGGGGGCAAGGAUACCAGAGAGUAGGGGCCUGUUUGUUCUUCUGACCCUGCAGCACUGCCAUGGGGGGAUAGGGGGUUUCUAGUGCACUGAUUCUGAGCAGAGAGAUGGAGCCUGUGAGAUGUCCACAGGGAAUCUGAUAUCCCUGGAACCCCGUCAUGUCUUGGGGAAUAUGGGGUCCAAGGACAGAUGGGAAGAGAGGAGAGACAUUAUAGAAGCUAAAGGGCAUGGGAUGGCCUGAAUUUGGGCUACAACCUCUGAAGAAGUCACUUCCUCAUUUAUAGCCAAAGUAAAUGGGCACCCAAAUAGUCUCAGUGUGGACCAGGAGCCAGCCUCACACAUCCCUCCAAGCCCUCCCUAUCCAUCAUAACUCCCACCCUCCAAUUUCACUCCACAAUUAGAGGGCAAGCCGAUUGGUUCAUUAAUCACCGCCUCCUCAUCGGAGAGCUUGUUAACUUGUUGAUUAGUGGGGAGUAUGUCUCAGCCCUCGGUCAAUGGGCUUGGCUACAUCCAUCCACACACCCACACCCAUCACUGAUGCAUGACUCAGUGGUCAUGAGACAUGUCUGGGGGUUGGGGGGCUGACAUCUGUGAGGGCAGAAAGUUCAGACACAAUUGUUUUUGUAGAUGUUUGAGACCAGGGCCUAACUCCAACUUGUCCUUGAAGGGUAGGGGACAGAAUCACUAGGGCUUCCUUGGCCCCAUUCUCAGAGCACCGGACAAGGCCACCCUAAGUCAGGGAGACCAUGGACCUGGACCCCAGCCAACAAUUCCCCUUGUCCGGUGGGCUCAAGGGCCACUCAUCAAGGGGGUGUGGCCUCUGCCAUUCAUCCUUAGAGGUUUAGAAUUCUGCACCCCAUCACCCACCUGCCUGUACCCACUUCCCACACAUGAGCCCUCUCUUUGAUCAUCGUGCACUGUGCAGCACUGGCCCACUGCCCUUCCACCUGCAGGCAUUUCCUCAUGCCCAGGGUCCUGCAGACAGCAGAUGGUCAUACAGCAAGAGUAAUUCGAUCCUCAUUCAACAAGCAUUUAUGAAGUCCCUGCUGUGUGCCAGGCACUCAUCUAGGGACUGGGAUAGGGCAGUGAACAAACAGGCAAAACCCUUGCCCUCAUAGAGCUCACAUUCUAGUGACAGGAAAUAGAAAAUAAAUCAAUAAGCAUGGAGGCUGGGCGCGGUGGCUCAUGCCUGUAAUCCCAGCACUUUGGGAGGCCGAGGCAGGUGGAUCACCUGAGGUCAGGAGUUCGAGACCAGCCUGGCCAACAUGGUGAAAUCUCGUCUCUAUUAAAAAUACAAAAAUUAGCCAAGUGUGGUGGCACACACCUGUGAUCCCAGCUACUUGGGAGGCUGAGGCAGGAGAAUUGCUUGAGCCUGGGAGGCGGAGGUUGCAGUGAGCUGAGAUGGUGCCACUGCACUCCAGCCUGG
rnacentral:lncRNA from 1 species